rnacentral:lncRNA from 1 species
GGGUUUGAAUCGAAUUUGAUUACAUGGAAUUGGUUUUGAUCUUUGUUCCUUGUGUGUACCCUCAAUCCCCGGAAUAGAACGAUCCCUAUUUGCUUAUACUACUAACGAUAAUUUCAGGGUUAAAUUAUACGCUUACUUUUAGUGUAUCAACAACCCCCUCUUGCCUUUCAACCUUCCAGCCAAAAUGAUGAGCGUAGUUACAUGGGUAACGCUUGCCCU